AUAACCAGGAACACAUCCAGCACCAGCCCUUACCCCUCUGCUUUUGUAAUCGAGCAGGAUCCUGUGAGGCCUUCCCAGAGUAGACCCCCACUCACGUUCUCCACCUGCCUUUCUUUUGUUUUGUUUUGUUUUGUUUUUUGCCUUUUAGAGCCGCGCAUGUGGCAUAUGGAAGUUCCUAGGCUAGGGGUUGAAUCAGAGUUGCAGCUGCCAGCCUACACCACAGCCACAGCAAUGCAGGAUCUGAGCUGUGCCUGUGACCUAGACCACAGCUCACAGCAAUGCAGGAUCCCCAACCCUGAGAGAGGCUAGGUAUCAAACCCAUAUCCUCAUGGAUACUCGUUGGAUUCAUCUCCACUGCUCCACAACAGGAACUCUCACUUGCCUUUUUAUCUAUAGAAAAACUUUAGCCAAAGAACCAAUUUAAAAAUACAGAGAAAAAAAACUCGAUAAUUAUAAUUCAGCCAUUCAAUAAAGUCAAGGUCGUACGGUUCCUCAAAGACUAUAGAUAAUAUUCCGAGCCAUGUCCUUGGAGAUGUCAUGCAAGUGCUAAAGCCACCACUGGUGGGAGAAGUCAAUUACAUGCUGCCCACAAGCACAUAGACCCCAGACCAGUUGGAAACAGAAGGUUUCUGACGCUGAUUCCCAAUUACCUCACCACCCACCAAUCAGGAAAAUGUCCAUGAGCUGAUCACGCCCUGCUCCUCAAACACAAUAAAACUCCUCACUAGACCUUCCAGGGGGGCACAGUCCUUGAGGCACUAGCCUGCUGUGUUCCCCUCUUUGCUUGGCAAUUAAAGCUAUUUUUCCGUUUCCUCCAAUUCUGUCUCCUCAUUUCUAUUUGGCAUCAGUGUACAGAGGCAGCCAAUAUUUCUGCCACACUUUUUUCUGUUUCAGUUCGUUCUCUUAUACUGAAGAUGGACUUUAUUCAUCUGAUGAGACUCAAGGCAGGGAUCAUCUCUAGGUAAUUUAGUCCAACUUAAAGACCUUCACUUGGUCAUUCAGUCAUUUGCCAUGUAUUUAUCGGGCCCCUACCGUGUGCCAAGCCCAUGAACAAGACGGACAAGUCCCUUUCCUCCUUCCAAUAGCUGAUACAGACAAUAAGCAAAUACCUGGAUAAGAUCCUCAGAGAUUGUAACAGGGAUGAGGAUGGAAGGAGCAGAGAGAUGAAAGAGAGUGACUGAGAAGAUCACAGACUGGUCCUCAGGGAAGGCUUCCCCGAGGACCUGACUCCUGAGACCCCCCAAAUUAACAGUGCACAGGUAAAGCCUCCAUGAUUACUUCUGGAAGCAGCCACAGAAGGGAAGCCAGCAUACCUGGUGCCAAGUAAGCAGACAAGGACAGUAAGAAAUGAGGCUAGGAGCUAGAUGCAGCAGGGCCUCACGGAUACACCUUGGUUUUCCUAGGAGAGUUCCCAUUGCACCUGUUUUCCCACCAUAAAUAUUAAGAGCAUCCUAGUUUGGAUGAUAAAUUGUACAGCCACCCAACAUAUGGGCUAUAAUAGUCAGGAUUCUGUUCUAAGAGAAAUGGAAAGACAUUGAAAAGUUUUAAGUAGGGCAAUGCCACCAUCUAAUAGUAUUUAGCAUCACCGGACACCAGAGAAUGAGUUAAUAAAUGCAGUAAGUUAAAUAUGUCCACAUGUGGAGCACUGAAUAUUUUUCUUUAGUAAAAGAAAUCAACAUCAAGAUAAAAAUAGGUAAAAGGUGUGACUUAGCAUAGAGCUACCCUCAUCAUCCUCGUCUGACACUUAGUCCUCAGCACCACCAGUCUGUUUGUUAUUCUUCCCACUUAAACUCAGAAGCACUAACAAAGGCAGAACAUAGCUCCAGCUUUCUGGGUCUCAUGGCAACUUGGCAGCACAAUGCUCCUAGGCUAAAAUCCCAGCUUCCAUGGAUUCAUGCAGUUUCAGCCACAAAUAUUUACCUUGCCCGGCUCCUGGGGCUAAUUAAAGGGGCAGGGCUCCAUUUCUCUUGGCUCUCUUCUAAAUUGCUUUCAGAGACAGAAGCAGCUGCAGGACAAGAAUGACAGCCCCAUAAUUCACCUCUGCAACCACACAGUGACUCCCUCACAAAUGUCCUCUUCAAAUUAGGAAAGGGGUUCGUGGCCAUACCUUACCCUUGCCACUUUGCUACUGGAUUUGAAAUUGCGUCUCUCUACAAUGAUUUCUCCCAGGAGCUGAAGUUAUCCUUAGUAGCAUACCUGACCGAUAGCUGCCUCUGGAAGAGAGAAUCUCAGGAUCAAAUGCUGAGUUUAUUAUACCAGUUAGAAUACCGUGUUUCAUUGCAUAUUUUUAUUUUUAUCAUAAAAAUGAUACAUGCUUUCUAUAACAAAAAUUCAAGAAGAGAAGGAGGAAAUUGCAAAGUAAAUUUUUCCCUUCUCCCCUCUCUCAGUCCCUGUCACAGGCCCAAAGAAUCCCCUUCCUCUGGUAAUCUCUAUCAGUUUCCAACAUUUUCUAUGCAUAUACGAGCAAAAGGAGAAAUAUAUUAGUAUUUAAAUAGGUCACCCUAAAGGCUUUAAAGUGAUUUCAUGAUAACAAGUCCAGGUUUGAUUAACCAUGAAAUGGAGUCACAUCUUAGUUCCCUAGCAGGAACAGAAGGAUCCGCCGUUUCUGCAAAUUGAAAUAGCUGGGUUACGAUUCUAACAGUUUAAGAACACAAAUUCAAGUUGCCGGGACCAGGAAGAAAUCAGAACAGGAGGUGAGGUUAUAGCUCUGAAAACAGAUUCAGAGCUUGAAUAGAGGGAAAAAAAAAAAAAAAAAAA
rnacentral:lncRNA from 1 species